CAGUAACAGUCGCUAUGAGUCUGUUUCAGAUCAAAGUGGGAGUGUUCAGAGUUGAUCCUUUAAAUGAGCGUGGGAGUGACGGUCCACCCAAACCCUCUUCAUAAAGUUGAUAAACCAGUGGUAAAACAGGCUGAAACCCGAGCAGGCCAAAGACCAGCAUGGGUUUGGUCCAAGGCUGAGCUGGAUGGAUGGUCCAGAGGGAGAGGAGCGAGGUCUGAGCCCGCCCAGAGAAAAACCCUGUUGGCUAGCUGUAGUUGGCUGCUCUGGUCCAGUCCCAAGCCUAACAGCAUCGAUGCUGAGGCUGCUAAGGUGCCAGUCGGUGAGAGUGCCCUCCGCAUUUGACACCAAUAUUUACAACACAUCCCUGUGCGUCUGCAAACGCAUCCCCCCUGCGCUAAGGAAAAGUGGCUG
rnacentral:lncRNA from 1 species